rnacentral:lncRNA from 1 species
CUGAGCUCUACUAUAUAUAUCUGGAGAUCGUGCUCCCAUAUCUCGUCAAACAAAAAAGUGUCCGCAAAAACAUGGCGGAUUUCGAGCUCCGCGUCCACUAUUUUCGGGCGAUUUACCACUGACCACAUAAUAUUUUUGAAAGCCACCUGUUUUCGCACCCCCCUGGAUGCAAAAAGUAUACACUGUGUAUUAAUUAUCAAACUAUCAAGUUUUACAACUUUAUAUUUUGUCAACAUGCCGCGUUAAUAUUGCUCGGUUUAUGGUUGUCACAACUUCUUUGACAAAGACGGAUUGUAUUCACACUGUCACUGGUAAGGAAAUAUUAUUUUGUGCUUAGAUAUCAUUCGAGAAGUUUUUUCUGUAGUUUAUGUUUUGUUCACGUGCAUGUGUCACGUACCAGCUAUGGUACGACUAUGGCUUCUUUUCUGAGGUUUUUGCAUGUAGUUUGUUUCAUUCAAAUAUUAUAUUUCCAUUGUUCCUUGUGAUGUUCUCGUGUGCGUUUUUCCUACCUACUGUACAGUGUAUUUUAUAGGCCUGUUUGUAUUUAUGAAAGCAUAUUGUUAUUGAAUUUUUUCCCUUCACAUAUUUAAGUAUUCCUGAUGCAAAGAAGCAUCCAGAGUUGUACAGCAUAUGGGUUGAGUAUAUGAAUAAACAUGCGACAGUGAAGUCUGUUCCUGCGAAAAGUAGUCGUUUGUGUUCAGAUCACUUUAGUGCUGAUAUGUAUGAGAUAAAGGGCAAAAGCCAGAAAUUAGUAUUGAGACCGGAUGCUAAUACCAACAAUAGUUACACAAAGGUUUGCUCAGGUCAUUGGUGCGAUUUAAAGUGUUAUAUGUAACAGUGUGCAUGAGUUACAUUCUUUGCUAAGGGACAAGUCAUUAUUAAUGCCGGGUAGGGGGCUGGAGGAAAUUUUUAUGAAUAGCAAAAAUUUUUCAUGACCCCUUAUUUUUCUAACAAACUAUUUUAUCCCCCCCCUUAUUGAGGCAACAUAUUUCAUAGCCCCCCCCCUCCCCCCCCUCCACCCCAAUUCUGAAUUCAAUUACUCUAAGUCAGUUUCAUAACCAUUUUUCCUGCCCUCAUACUCAGUUUACUAGCAGAUGUAAAGAAUAUUGUAAAUAUUGAAAAUAAAGAAUAUUGUAAAUAUUGAAAAUGAUAGCCAAGUAGAUAAUUCAGACUUUAUACCUGAAAAGUUGUUGGUCCUCAAACAAAAAUCCCACAAAUCAGACCUACUUUUACUAAUUGAAAAAAAUACAUUUGUGUCUGGUGGAAGCAUUACUGUAUAUUGAAGAGAUGGCAGAAGAGACUGUCAACAACAUGCAGAAACAGAACAUGCAAAAGAGGUCCACUGUGUUAAAAGCAGGACAACAACUGUCAACUGAAUCUUGCAUUUGCAAAUGCAGUGCAUGACCCUUUAGACAAAUUCUCUGGUGAUGAUGAGGAUGACAAUUUCCAUAUACAGUGCCUAGAACACAACUUUAAGGUUCAAUAUAUUGGGCAUUACUGUUCAAUGUAUGUAUACUGUAUAUAUCCAUCACUCUUUUGAUAUUGCAUGUUACAAACUAUAGAUUUUAUUUUUUGCCCCCCCCCCUUUAUGUUCAAAAUAUUUUCUCCCCCCCCCCUUCACUGGUCAAAAUUUUUUUGUGGCCCCUCUAUAUUAAAAUUUAUUGUACAUUUACUAGGAAUGGUAUGCUGGAUGUGUUUUAAAAGAGGGCAUACAAAAAUUGUGUGCCCAAAUAGAGCAAAAACCCACUCAGACAAUUGUUCAAGAACAACAUAAUAGGCACAAUUGCCAUGAUAAUUCACUAAGUAACUUUGUGUAUGUUAUAAUGUGUGAAUGUUGUGUGAGUGUUGUACGUGUUAAUUUUAAUUUAUUUAUUAGGCCAUUAAUAAAUAUGCUUGGUUUGAAAAAUAUUUUAGGGGGGGAUGCCCCACUGCUGGUGCCACCACUGGAAAUAUCAGCUAAUUAUAGCCAGCAUAGCUUCAAUAAAAUAUAUUGAAGUAAAUAUGACAUCAAAUACUCUUUUAUUAAAAGCGAUAGCUAUGUGCGUGUUUCACUUGUAUCAUUUGGGACAACCCGAGAAUACCCUUAUGGAAUUAACAAAAUAAAACGUGGGUAUGAAACCAAGAAUACGUAUUGAUGGCCUGUAAUAGUAAUAUAAUAUUGUAUAUAUUUUUAAAUUAAUUAAACUUUCUAAAUGUUGAAUAAAUCUAAUUUGUAAUGAAAAUUAAUAAUGCACAUAAGAAUAUGUUUAAUAAAAUAAUAUAUAAUUAUUGUUUGGUGUGCUAGAUCCUUAAUUAACUAAUCCUUUGCCUGGUCAAACAAUAUGAUUGUAUUGCCAUGAAUUGCCAUCGAAUAUAACAAUGAUUCCAGCCGGGCAAACGUAGAGCCAUAUACAUUUGGGUAUUUAUUAGUGCAGAUUUACUUUCCCCAUAAUGUGCACAGAGUACAUUGUGAGUAGACAUGAUCAACAAUGUGCAGUUUCCAUAAUCUGAAAAAUACAAACAGCAGUAAAUAUUUAGAUGAUACAUGCAUAAACCGACAUAAGUUUUGUUUCAACAAAGCAUGGCUGU